rnacentral:rRNA from 1 species
CCUACGGGAGGCAGCAGUGGGGAAUAUUGGGCAAUGGGCGCAAGCCUGACCCAGCAACGCCGCGUGAAGGAAGAAGGCUUUCGGGUUGUAAACUUCUUUUCUCAGGGACGAAGCAAGUGACGGUACCUGAGGAAUAAGCGACGGCCAACUUCGCGACAGCCGCCGCGGUAAGACGUAGGUGGCAAGCGUUAUCCGGUUUUACUGGGUGUAAAGGGGGGGUAGGCGGGGACGCAAGUCAGAUGUGAAAACCACGGGCUCAACCUGGGGCCUGCAUUUGAAACUGUGUUUCUGGAGUACUGGAGAGGAAGACGGAAUUCCUAGUGUAGCGGUGAAAUGCGUAGAUAUUAGGAGGAACACCAGUGGCGAAGGCGGUCUGCUGGACAGCAACUGACGCUGAGGCGCGAAAGCGUGGGGAGCAAACAGGAUUAGAUACCCGGGUAGUC